UACGGAGGGGGCUAGCGUUGUUCGGAAUUACUGGGCGUAAAGGGCGCGUAGGCGGUUUACCCAGUCAGGCGUGAAAGGCCUGGGCUCAACCCGGGAACUGCGCUUGAUACUGGUAGACUCGAGUCCGGGAGAGGAUGGCGGAAUUCCCAGUGUAGAGGUGAAAUGCGUAGAUAUUGGGAAGAACACCGGUGGCGAAGGCGGCCAUCUGGACCGGCACUGACGCUGAGGCGCGAAAGCGUGGGGAGCAAACAGG
rnacentral:rRNA from 1 species